rnacentral:rRNA from 1 species
GAUGAACGCUAGCGGCAGGCCUAAUACAUGCAAGUCGAACGGUAACAUGAGUAGCAAUACUUGAUGACGAGUGGCGCACGGGUGCGUAACGCGUAUGCAAUCUACCUUUAACUGGUGAAUAGCCCGAAGAAAUUCGGAUUAAUACACCAUAGUAUAUUUGAAUGGCAUCAUUUAAAUAUUAAAACUCCGGUGGUUAAAGAUGAGCAUGCGUGACAUUAGCUAGUUGGUGAGGUAAUGGCUCACCAAGGCUACGAUGUCUAGGGGAUCUGAGAGGAUUAACCCCCACACUGGUACUGAGACACGGACCAGACUCCUACGGGAGGCAGCAGUAAGGAAUAUUGGACGAUGGUCGAAAGACUGAUCCAGCCAUGCCGCGUGAAGGAUGUCGGCCCUAUGGGUUGUAAACUUCUUUUGUAUGGGAAAAAACCCUUCUACGUGUAGAAGGCUGAUGGUACCAUAAGAAUAAGGAUCGGCUAACUCCGUGCCAGCCGCCGCGGUAA